CGUGUAGGCGGAUCGGCCAGUCAGAUGUGAAAGCCCCGGGCUUAACCUGGGAACUGCAUUUGAUACUGCCGAUCUAGAGUCCGGGAGAGGAUAGUGGAAUUCCCAGUGUAGAGGUGAAAUUCGUAGAUAUUGGGAAGAACACCAGUGGCGAAGGCGGCUAUCUGGACCGGUACUGACGCUGAGGCGCGAGAGCGUGGGGAGCAAACA
rnacentral:rRNA from 1 species